CUAUUGGCAAUGAUGAAAGUAAAAACUAUACGGUGGAUCUUAUAGCCAAAUGGAUGAUGACUAUGGAUAGACGAGGCCAAAUAUAUUUCAUUCCUUGGAUUGUUGAUCGACAUUGGAUGUUGGUGCUCGUGAUGAUGCGGGGGAUGACCAUAAUUUUGGACCCUUUAAAAAAUCAUAAAUCUCCACCAAUAAUUACGGAGGUUAUGGAAAAAGCAUACGCACAAUGUUUGGAAAAUGAAUACAUCGGCACAUUUACAAAAUUGGUGAGAGGUUCUUGUCCAAAACAACCUGAAAGUCAUGAA